UACGGAGGGUGCAAGCGUUAUCCGGAUUUACUGGGCGUAAAGGGCGCGUAGGCGGUAGCACAAGUCAGUUGUGAAAUCUCCGGGCUUAACUCGGAAAGGUCAACUGAUACUGUGCGACUAGAGUGCAGAAGGGGCAACUGGAAUUCUCGGUGUAGCGGUGAAAUGCGUAGAUAUCGAGAGGAACACCUGCGGCGAAGGCGGGUUGCUGGGCUGACACUGACGCUGAGGCGCGAAAGCCAGGGGAGCGAACGGG
rnacentral:rRNA from 1 species